UAGGUGGCAAGCGUUGUCCGGAUUUACUGGGUGUAAAGGGCGUGUAGGCGGAGCAGCAAGUCAGAAGUGAAAUCUCCGGGCUUAACCCGGAAACUGCUUUUGAAACUGUUGCCCUUGAGUAUCGGAGAGGCAGGCGGAAUUCCUAGUGUAGAGGUGAAAUGCGUAGAUAUUAGGAGGAACACCAGUGGCGAAGGCGGCCUGCUGGACGACAACUGACGCUGAGGCGCGAAAGCGUGGGGAGC
rnacentral:rRNA from 1 species